GACGAACGCUGGCGGCGCGCCUAACACAUGCAAGUCGAACGAGCGAAGAGAAGCUUGCUUCUCUGAGCGAGUGGCGAACGGGUGAGUAACGCGUGAGGAACCUGCCUCAAAGAGGGGGACAACAGUUGGAAACGACUGCUAAUACCGCAUAAGCCCACGGGUCGGCAUCGACCAGAGGGAAAAGGAGCAAUCCGCUUUGAGAUGGCCUCGCGUCCGAUUAGCUAGUUGGUGAGGUAAUGGCCCACCAAGGCGACGAUCGGUAGCCGGACUGAGAGGUUGAACGGCCACAUUGGGACUGAGACACGGCCCAGACUCCUACGGGAGGCAGCAGUGGGGAAUAUUGCACAAUGGGGGAAACCCUGAUGCAGCGACGCCGCGUGGAGGAAGAAGGUCUUCGGAUUGUAAACUCCUGUUGUUGAGGAAGAUAAUGACGGUACUCAACAAGGAAGUGACGGCUAACUACGUGCCAGCAGCCGCGGUAAAACGUAGGUCACAAGCGUUGUCCGGAAUUACUGGGUGUAAAGGGAGCGCAGGCGGGAAGACAAGUUGGAAGUGAAAUCCAUGGGCUCAACCCAUGAACUGCUUUCAAAACUGUUUUUCUUGAGUAGUGCAGAGGUAGGCGGAAUUCCCGGUGUAGCGGUGGAAUGCGUAGAUAUCGGGAGGAACACCAGUGGCGAAGGCGGCCUACUGGGCACCAACUGACGCUGAGGCUCGAAAGUGUGGGUAGCAAACAGGAUUAGAUACCCUGGUAGUCCACACCGUAAACGAUGAUUACUAGGUGUUGGAGGAUUGACCCCUUCAGUGCCGCAGUUAACACAAUAAGUAAUCCACCUGGGGAGUACGACCGCAAGGUUGAAACUCAAAGGGAUUGACGGGGGCCCGCACAAGCAGUGGAGUAUGUGGUUUAAUUCGACGCAACGCGAAGAACCUUACCAAGUCUUGACAUCCUGCGACGGACAUAGAAAUAUGUCUUUCCUUCGGGACGCAGAGACAGGUGGUGCAUGGUUGUCGUCAGCUCGUGUCGUGAGAUGUUGGGUUAAGUCCCGCAACGAGCGCAACCCUUAUGGUCAGUUACUACGCAAGAGGACUCUGGCCAGACUGCCGUUGACAAAACGGAGGAAGGUGGGGAUGACGUCAAAUCAUCAUGCCCUUUAUGACUUGGGCUACACACGUACUACAAUGGCGUUAAACAAAGAGAAGCAAGACCGCGAGGUGGAGCAAAACUCAGAAACAACGUCCCAGUUCGGACUGCAGGCUGCAACUCGCCUGCACGAAGUCGGAAUUGCUAGUAAUCGUGGAUCAGCAUGCCACGGUGAAUACGUUCCCGGGCCU
rnacentral:rRNA from 1 species